rfam:Biomphalaria glabrata isolate BB02 linkage group LG1i unlocalized genomic scaffold LG1i_random_Scaffold7, whole genome shotgun sequence.
AUGGCUAAGUGGUAAAGUACUUGGCUUCUGAACCGGGGAUCCCAGGUUUGAAUCCUGGU